rnacentral:rRNA from 1 species
UUUAACUACACUAGCGAAGUCGAACGGACGACGCGCGGGCGAACCUGGCGGCGAGUGGCGAACGGGUGAGUAAGUAUAUCGACGUACCAACGAUGGGGAGUAACGUAGCGAAGUUACGCUAAUACCGCAUACGAUCUAAGGAUGAAAGCAGGGGAGUCUUCGGACCUUGUGCUCCUGGAGCGGCCGAUAUCUGAUUAGCUAGUUGGUGAGGUAAAGGACUCACCAAGGCGACGAUCAGUAGCUGGUCUGAGAGGACGACCAGCCACACUGGAACUGAGACACGGUCCAGACUCCUACGGGAGGCAGCAGUGGGGAAUUUUGGACAAUGGGCGAAAGCCUGAUCCAGCAAUGCCGCGUGAGUGAAGAAGGCCUUCGGGUUGUAAAGCUCUUUUGUCAGGGAAGAAACGGUUGAGGCUAACAUCCUCGACUAAUGACGGUACCUGAAGAAUAAGCACCGGCUAACUACGUG